UACGUAGGGUGCAGGCGUUAAUCGGAAUUACUGGGCGUAAAGCGUGCGCAGGCGGUCUUUUAAGUCAGAUGUGAAAUCCCCGGGCUUAACCUGGGAACUGCGUUUGAAACUGGAAGGCUAGAGUGUGGCAGAGGGGGGUGGAAUUCCACGUGUAGCAGUGAAAUGCGUAGAGAUGUGGAGGAACACCGAUGGCGAAGGCAGCCCCCUGGGUCAACACUGACGCUCAUGCACGAAAGCGUGGGGAGCAAACAGG
rnacentral:rRNA from 1 species